GGGGGAAAUAUAGGGAGGGGCAGCUAGAAUAAGACACAUGGAACAGUCAUAUGGAAACCUACUUCAGUUGAAGCUUUAUAAAUUACACACACACACACACACACACACACACACACACAGCAGAGCUAAGAAAUAUAAAAAGAUUUACUAAACAACAGGGCAUACAAAGUUGCAAUUAGAUAUUUAUGCCUAUCAAAUUAAAUUUCUGGUGCCAUGAAAGGGUGAUACUUAAUCCAGAAAAUUAAAUACCAACACCGAUAAAGACACUUCAAACUACAAUGGUGACCUGAAAGAGGACUUCUCAACUUUGUACCAGCCAGACCUGUACAACCAGCCAUUAUCUGAAUGGAUUAAGGACUUACACCAGGAGAUGGAACCCAGUGGCUAAAGGCCUGAUCGUAGAUAAUCUAUGGACCUGAAAGAAAGAUAAAUAUUAUUGUAUUGUUCAAGGGAUCUAACAAUGAAAUCAUUCCAGA